ACGAACGCUGGCGGCGUGCUUAACACAUGCAAGUCGAACGGAAAGGCCCUGCUUUUGUGGGGUGCUCGAGUGGCGAACGGGUGAGUAACACGUGAGUAACCUGCCCUUGACUUUGGGAUAACUUCAGGAAACUGGGGCUAAUACCGGAUAGGAGCUCCUGCUGCAUGGUGGGGGUUGGAAAGUUUCGGCGGUUGGGGAUGGACUCGCGGCUUAUCAGCUUGUUGGUGGGGUAGUGGCUUACCAAGGCUUUGACGGGUAGCCGGCCUGAGAGGGUGACCGGCCACAUUGGGACUGAGAUACGGCCCAGACUCCUACGGGAGGCAGCAGUGGGGAAUAUUGCACAAUGGGCGGAAGCCUGAUGCAGCAACGCCGCGUGCGGGAUGACGGCCUUCGGGUUGUAAACCGCUUUCGCCUGUGACGAAGCGUGAGUGACGGUAAUGGGUAAAGAAGCACCGGCUAACUACGUGCCAGCAGCCGCGGUGAUACGUAGGGUGCGAGCGUUGUCCGGAUUUAUUGGGCGUAAAGGGCUCGUAGGUGGUUGAUCGCGUCGGAAGUGUAAUCUUGGGGCUUAACCCUGAGCGUGCUUUCGAUACGGGUUGACUUGAGGAAGGUAGGGGAGAAUGGAAUUCCUGGUGGAGCGGUGGAAUGCGCAGAUAUCAGGAGGAACACCAGUGGCGAAGGCGGUUCUCUGGGCCUUUCCUGACGCUGAGGAGCGAAAGCGUGGGGAGCGAACAGGCUUAGAUACCCUGGUAGUCCACGCUGUAAACGGUGGGUACUAGGUGUGGGGUCCAUUCCACGGGUUCCGUGCCGUAGCUAACGCUUUAAGUACCCCGCCUGGGGAGUACGGCCGCAAGGCUAAAACUCAAAGGAAUUGACGGGGCCCCGCACAAGCGGCGGAGCAUGCGGAUUAAUUCGAUGCAACGCGUAGAACCUUACCUGGGUUUGACAUGGAUCGGGAGUGCUCAGAGAUGGGUGUGCCUCUUUUGGGGUCGGUUCACAGGUGGUGCAUGGCUGUCGUCAGCUCGUGUCGUGAGAUGUUGGGUUAAGUCCCGCAACGAGCGCAACCCUUGUUCACUGUUGCCAGCACGUUAUGGUGGGGACUCAGUGGAGACCGCCGGGGUCAACUCGGAGGAAGGUGGGGAUGACGUCAAGUCAUCAUGCCCCUUAUGUCCAGGGCUUCACGCAUGCUACAAUGGCUGGUACAGAGAGUGGCGAGCCUGUGAGGGUGAGCGAAUCUCGGAAAGCCGGUCUCAGUUCGGAUUGGGGUCUGCAACUCGACCUCAUGAAGUCGGAGUCGCUAGUAAUCGCAGAUCAGCAACGCUGCGGUGAAUACGUUCCCGGGGCUUGUACACACCGCCCGUCAAGUCAUGAAAGUUGGUAACACCCGAAGCCGGUGGCCUAACCGUUGUGGGGGAGCCGUCGAAGGU
rnacentral:rRNA from 1 species